rnacentral:lncRNA from 1 species
UCUUCGACUGGUCAGGUCAUAAUUACCGAGGUAAAAUGUGUUUUAUAUUGGAUACUCGGUUUUCACCAAGCAUGCCAUGACUAUGAAGAUGGCAUAGUCUGAAUUUGGUGGAUGGAGAACAAUCCAUAAAUUCUAAAAAUAUAAUUUUUGGCUGUCUCUUCAAUGGCUCUUACACAAAGUCUGCCAUGACUAUGAAAUUCUGAAUCGGGGGAGGAUGGCGACUAGAGGUCUUCAUGGACCCACCUUUACUUGAAUACACCUUUACUUGAAUACCAGAGACCUGAUCUGAGACCCGAGCGGGUCCGGAUCUAGAAUUCUAAAUGUCACCGUCUGGGUUGGAUCCGACAUGAUUGUCACAGGUCUCGGAAUCAGCGUCAUGAAUACACCCCUGAUCACACAAACAGCUUACUUUCAUAGCAGCCACACUAUUCAUUCUUGCGUCUAUGGGCUCCUCCUUUUCCCUUCGCUUGUGGACUUCAAUGAACAACACAGCAGCUGUAUGUGACCAGGUGAAGAACAAGAAAUCCAAACCAUAUAACUGCUGCACACAGCCUACAUUGUUGUCACCGUAUUUGCUAAAUUAAUGUCAUAGCGUAGCUAAUAGAACUAACGCGUUAGUAAACCCGCUACCAUGAUGCAGUAAUGUUAGUGUACAGUUAGCAGUUCAGUAAGCAGUUUACCAGUUGCACUGGUGGCAAUAAAUUUGUAAAACCAAAAGCUUACCAUGUGUUGGAUAGUCAUUGCCUGCUCGCUAACAUAGCAUCCCUCUGUUUGAACCUAUUGUUUGAGUAGGCAAAACUAGUCAGCUGAAUUUGGUAGCUAAGUGAAAGUGGGGAAGAAAGUGUGAAAUAUACAUUCACUCUCUUCCUUUGUUAAAACAAUAGUUGAACACUAUCUCUGAGUAAACUAUUCACCACUUGAUGCACUGCAGUGCUAUCUAGCUGUAGCUUAUGCGUUCAGUAUUAGAUUAAUUCUCUGAUCUUUUGAUUGGGUGGACAUGUCAGUUCAUGCUGCAAGAGCUCUGACAUGUUGAAGGAUGUCCAUGACCAUGAGUCUCCUAGGUUUUGUAUUGAAGUCACUACCCAGAGGACGGAAGUUAGCUGUCCUUUGCCUACACCAUGGUGCUACCCCACAAAGUGCUGUUGAGGCUACUGUAGACCUUCAUUGCAAAAGUGUUUAAAUCAAUUAUUUGAUGUCAUGAAUAUAUUUAGUAUAGUUUUAGCUAGGAUAACUUUUUAAAUGAUUUACU